rnacentral:rRNA from 1 species
UACGUAGGGUGCAAGCGUUAAUCGGAAUUACUGGGCGUAAAGCGUGCGCAGGCGGCUCUGCAAGACAGAUGUGAAAUCCCCGGGCUUAACCUGGGAACUGCAUUUGUGACUGCAUGGCUGGAGUGCGGCAGAGGGGGAUGGAAUUCCGCGUGUAGCAGUGAAAUGCGUAGAUAUGCGGAGGAACACCGAUGGCGAAGGCAACCCCCUGGGCCUGCACUGACGCUCAUGCACGAAAGCGUGGGGAGCAAACAGG